rnacentral:tRNA from 1 species
GGAGAGGUACCGAAGAGGUCGUAACGGGUCCGACUCGAAAUCGGAUUACGGCACAAAAAGCCGUACGCGGGUUCGAAUCCCGCCCUCUCCGCCA